AACGAACGCUGGCGGCGCGUCUUAAGCAUGCAAGUCGGACGGCAAGAAGGAGCUUGCUCCUUCCUAGAGUGGCGGACUGGUGAGUAACGCGUGGAUGACGUACCUCUCGGAUGGGGACAGCCGGCAGAAAUGCCGGAUAAUACCGAAUAAAGUCCUGUGGAGUAAAUACACAGGAUGAAAGCGGCUUCGGCCGCGCCGGGAGAGCGGUUUGCGUCCUAUCAGCUAGUUGGCGAGGUAAAGGCUCACCAAGGCGACGACGGGUAUCCGGCCUGAGAGGGUGAACGGACACAUUGGGACUGAGAUACGGCCCAGACUCCUACGGGAGGCAGCAGCUAAGGAUAUUCCGCAAUGGGGGAAACCCUGACGGAGCGACGCCGCGUGGACGAUGAAGGCCGGAAGGUUGUAAAGUCCUUUUGAUUGUGAAGAAUAAGCGAGACAGGCAAUGGUAUUGUGGUGACGGUAGCAAUUGAAUAAGCACCGGCUAAUUACGUGCCAGCAGCCGCGGUAACACGUAAGGUGCGAGCGUUGUUCGGAAUUAUUGGGCGUAAAGGGCAUGCAGGCGGCAUUGCGAGCCUGGCGUGAAAUGCAGGGGCUCAACUCCUGCGCUGCGCCGGGAACUGUGAAGCUUGAGUUUCUGAGGGGCAGCCGGAAUUCCACAUGUAGGGGUGAAAUCUGUAGAUAUGUGGAGGAACACCAAUGGCGAAGGCAGGCUGCCAGCGGAUGACUGACGCUGAGGUGCGAAGGUGCGGGGAGCGAACAGGAUUAGAUACCCUGGUAGUCCGCACAGUCAACGAUGUGCACUAGAUGUCUGUUCACACGAAUGGGUGUCAAAGCGAACGCGAUAAAGUGCACCGCCUGGGGAGUAUGCCCGCAAGGGUGAAACUCAAAGGAAUUGACGGGGGCCCGCACAAACCGGUGGAACCUG
rnacentral:rRNA from 1 species